rnacentral:rRNA from 1 species
GUUGUAGUUAAACGCCCGUAGUAAACCAAAGGGUUAUAGUUAUUGAUCUGACCAGUACUGUUCGUAACGUCAGCCACGUAUUGUGGGUGAUAGGACGAAUAAGGACAGGUCCUCGGUCUCUAACGGAAGCUAAGGUUUCCUUAGCAUCCGCCAUGGGAUAGGUCAAUGAUUAUGGCUCGCUCCCUGCCAGUCCGUAAGGUCUGGUAGGGCCAUUUGGCACAACCGUAAACAAAUCAGAGUGCUCCAAGCAGGCAAUGUUAGGGGUAACCCAUUUGCUUGAAUGAUUUAGCAUGGAAUUGUCACGAAGCCGAUCGGAAACUUUGAGGGUUUACCUGAGAAGUGGAAGAUCCGGCGCUCGCAAUGAGACACUGGUAGAGGAUCCAAGUACUAUGGCGCGAGAGGUGAAAUUCAGUGACCGCCAUAUGACUAUCUAAUGCGAAAGCAGUUGUGAUCCAGAACGUGUCUGUCAAUCAGGGACGAAAGUUAAGGGAUCGAAGAUGAUUAGAUACCGUCGUAGUCUUAACCGUAAACGAUACCAACACGAGAUUGGUAGUGAGACUUUUAGAUCCUAUCAGAAUCCAAGGGAAACCGUUAAGUUUUUGGGUUCUGGGGGGGAGUAUGGUCGCAAGGCUGAAACUUAAAGGAAUUGACGGAAAGGCACCACCAGGAGUGGAGU